AUGGCCUCCUCCACCGUGCGCCUUCCCCACCCCUGUGGCUUUCCACCACCGGCGACACUCGACGCCAAUGCCGCACCUUCCCCCAACCCUCCUCUCUCUCGCCACGACCUGACUCCGUCGUCCUCCACUACCAGCCCGACACCAUGGACUCCGUGCGCACGGGGCCCUACGAACAGAUCUUCUGCCCCGACAACUUUGUCUUCGGCCGGUCCAGCACCGGCAACAACUAGGCCAAGGGCCACUACACGGAGGGCGCCGAGCUCAUCGAUUCCGUCCUCGACGUCGUCCGCAAGGAGGCCGAGAACUGCGACUGCCUCCAAGCUUCCAGGUGUGCCACUCCCUCGGCGAGGGCACCGGUUCCGGCAUGGGCACGCUGCUGAUUUCAAGAUCAGGGAGGAGUACCCGGACCGGAUGAUGCUCACCUUCUCCGUGUUCCCAUCUCCGAAGGUCUCUGACAUAAAGGUCGAGCCCUACAACGCCACCCUCUCGGUUCAGCAGCUGGUGGAGAACUCCGACGAGUGCAUGGUGCUGGACAACGAGGUGCUCUACCACAUCUGCUUCCGCGCCCUCAAGCUGACCACACCUAGCUGUAAGCAGAUCUGUGACAUCAAGUUAUAUUACCUACCUACCUGUACUUUUUUUUUGACUGAAUACCUGCCUGUACUUUUGUUACUAAUGUGA
rnacentral:rRNA from 1 species